GGGGAGAUGACUAAGUGGAUAAAGUACUUGCUUUGUGAGCAUGAGGUUUGGGUCACCAAUGGCCCCG
rnacentral:tRNA from 1 species